UGGGGAAUUUUGGACAAUGGGCGAAAGCCUGAUCCAGCAAUGCCGCGUGUGUGAAGAAGGCCUUCGGGUGUAAGCACUUUUGUCCGGAAAGAAAUCCUUGGCUCUAAUACAGUCGGGGGAUGACGGUACCGGAAGAAUAAGCACCGGCUAACUACGUGCCAGCAGCCGCGGUAAUACGUAGGGGUGCAAGCGUUAAUCGGAAUUACUGGGCGUAAAGCGUGCGCAGGCGGUUUGCUAAGACCGAUGUGAAAUCCCCGGGCUCAACCUGGGAACUGCAUUGGUGACUGGCAGGCUAGAGUAUGGCAGAGGGGGGUAGAAUUCCACGUGUAGCAGUGAAAUGCGUAGAGAUGUGGAGGAAUACCGAUGGCGAAGGCAGCCCCCUGGGCCAAUNCUGACGCUCAUGCACGAAAGCGUGGGGAGCAAACAGGAUUAGAUACCCUGGUAGUCCACGCCCUAAA
rnacentral:rRNA from 1 species